rnacentral:misc_RNA from 1 species
GACACCAAUGUUCUUAUGGCAUAGGUUUGGCCAAAAAAUUCUAAAUGUUGUUACAAAGUCAGCACCGAGGAGGUGUUUUUUGAGUUUGAAAAUGAUCUGCAUUAUUAUACAUGUAAUACAUGAAUACAUUACACACAUUCAUUGCGGUACUGGAUGAAACUUAACUGCUUAAUGAUAAUUAAUCAUAGAGUUGAUCAUUAUGUACCUUAUGAUGUAGGACCAGGACCAGCCUACUAAUACUUUUUUGGUGGGAAAAUCUCAAGCAAUUGAUGAGUUUUAGGAUAAAGAAUUAAGAAAAAAGGGAGAGUUUAGGGUUAGUAAAUUGAAGAGCUGAUUGGAGGGAGAAAAGUCCAAUUGGAGGCUGUUUGGGGCUGUGAACAGUAAAGGAGAAGAAGAGAGAAAAGAAAGGAGGAAAACCAGGCACUCUGGCCUUCCAAAUAAAACCAAAAUUGCAAUAUUAAAAACCCAAGAAAUAGUGGUUACAUAGUUUUCUAUGGAGAUUUAACGGCUUCCUUUGGAAAAAAAAUCAUUUGUAAGAAAAGAAUUU